CCUGUAGCUCAGUAGGAUAGAGCAACGGCCUUCUAAGCCGUGUGUCGGGGGUUCGAAUCUCUCCAGGCG
rnacentral:tRNA from 2 species